GACGAACGCUGGCGGCGUGCUUAACACAUGCAAGUCGAGCGGAAAGGCCCUUCGGGGUACUCGAGCGGCGAACGGGUGAGUAACACGUGAGUAAUCUGCCCUGCACUCUGGGAUAGCCUUGGGAAACUGAGAUUAAUACUGGAUAUGACAUGGCCUCGCAUGGGGUUGUGUGGAAAGUUUUUUUCGGUGCGGGAUGUGCUCGCGGCCUAUCAGCUUGAUGGUGGGGUAAUGGCCUACCAUGGCUUCGACGGGUAGCCGGCCUGAGAGGGUGACCGGCCACACUGGGACUGAGACACGGCCCAGACUCCUACGGGAGGCAGCAGUGGGGAAUAUUGGACAAUGGGCGGAAGCCUGAUCCAGCAACGCCGCGUGAGGGAUGACGGCCUUCGGGUUGUAAACCUCUUUCAGCACAGACGAAGCGCAAGUGACGGUAUGUGCAGAAGAAGGACCGGCCAACUACGUGCCAGCCGCCGCCGUAAAC
rnacentral:rRNA from 1 species